GGCCGGUUGGCGCAAUGGUAGCGCGUGGCCCUCCUACUUAGGUUAGGCCAAGGCUGUGGGUUCGAGUCCCACAUCGGUCG
rnacentral:tRNA from 1 species